GAAAUGCGAUAAGUAAUGUGAAUUGCAGAAUUCAGUGAAUCAUCGAAUCUUUGAACGCAUAUUGCACCCUCUGGUAUUCCGGGGGGUACACCUGUUCGAGCGCCAUUUCGACCCUCAAGUAUAACUUGGUGUUGGGUGAAGUCCCUUAAUGGGGACUCCCCCCUAACUCGUAGGCGGUCAUCGCCCUUUUCCCCCAGCGUAGCAGGCUCACGCACUCGCUCAGGGAUAGGCGGUUUGACUCGCUAAAUAAAAACCCUUUUUUAAAGGUUUGGCCUCGGAUCAGGUGAGGAUACCCGCUGAACUUAA
rnacentral:misc_RNA from 1 species